UGACAGGAGGUGUAGUUUUCACUUGAGAGGUAGCCGUGUUGACAGGAGGUGUAGUUUUCACUUGAGAGGUAGCCGUGUUGACAGGAGGUGUAGUUUUCACUUGAGAGGUAGCCGUGUUGACAGGGGGU